CCUACGGGAGGCUGCAGUGGGGAAUAUUGGACAAUGGGGGAAACCCUGAUCCAGCAAUGCCGCGUGUGUGAAGAAGGCCUGCGGGUUGUAAAGCACUUUCGGUUGGGAAGAAAAGUUUGGCGCCAAUACCGCCGAACCUUGACGUUACUGACAGAAGAAGCACCGGCUAACUCUGUGCCAGCAGCCGCGGUAAUACAGAGGGUGCAAGCGUUAAUCGGAAUCUGUGGACGUAAUCAUGCCGUUCGUGGGUGAACUCCCCGGGCUUAACCUGGGAACUGCAUUCGAUACUACAUGGCUAGAGUAUGGUAGAGGGAAGUGGAAGUUCCGGUGUAGCGGUGAAAUGCGUAGAUAUCGGAAGGAACACCAAUGGCGAAGGCAGCUUCCUGGACUAAUACUGACACUGAGGCACGAAAGCGUGGGUAGCAAACAGGAUUAGAUACCCUAGUAGUC
rnacentral:rRNA from 1 species